CCUACGGGUGGCAGCAGUGAGGAAUAUUGGUCAAUGGGCGAGAGUCUGAACCAGCCAAGCAGCGUGAGGGAUGACGGCCCUAUGGGUUGUAAACUUCUUUUAUCUGGGAAUAAAAUGUUCCACGUGUGGGGGUUUGUAUGUACCAUAUGAAUAAGGAUCGGCUAACUCCGUGCCAGCAGCCGCGGUAAUACGGAGGAUCCGAGCGUUAUCCGGAUUUAUUGGGUUUAAAGGGAGCGUAGGUGGAUUGUUAAGUCAGUUGGUAAAGUUUGGGGCUCAACCGUCAAAUUGCAGUUGAAACUGGCAGGCUUGAGUAGAGUAGAGGUGGGCGGAAUGCGUGGUGUAGCGGUGAAAUGCUUAGAUAUCACGAAGAACUCCGAUUGCGAAGGCAGCUCACUGGACUGCAACUGACACUGAGGCUCGAAAGUGUGGGGAUCAAACAGGAUUAGAUACCCCUGUAGUC
rnacentral:rRNA from 1 species